UUUGCACGUUGAAUCUUUCUCUUAUGUGUAUCUACAAAGUCAUCCUCACCUCUGGAUGUGCUAUGAUGGUAGAAGACGGUGCAUGGUCAGGCCGGAUCAGAACUGUUGUAGCGAUGGAGUCCUGAUUUCAGCCCUGACUGAAAGGAGGAGCGAGAGAGAGAGAGAGAGAGAGAAGUCCCUUGCCAACUCAGCGAAUUUCAGCUUAGGCAGCUGCACGCUCGUUGCUAGAGCUCCCCAGGCAGUUUCAUCUCACCAUCAGGCUCUUGCCUUCAGCAAGCACCGAGCUGUCCUGUGGCCGUGCAGGUCCUGCUGGCUGAGGCUGUAUUUCAGCGAGAUGGCUGCAGCGCUAUCUGCCCAGAGAUUUAGGACUCCUUGAAAGUUUUACACAGGUGAUGAAUAAAAAUGAUAUAAAGAAGCAAUGAACGUUCAAUGUUUUAUAUUUAAAAUACGUUUUGUGAGGAAAACAAUGUGGCAUAGAAACAGGACUGAAAGGUUCUCCAAGAUAAUGCCAGCGACUGCAAGAUGUCAGCAGCAUUGCCAUAAUCAUAAUACUUGGAAGCGAGAGCAAGAAGGAGAGGACUUGGCACUCACAGAGUUUGGAGCUCUCCAAGAUCUUUACAAACACAACACAGU
ensembl:lncRNA